GCCAGAGUUGUGACUUGUUGAUCCAGGCAUGCCUAGGCUGAACGUCAGGAAAUGGUGGCUUUAAGAUUUUUGCAGUUUGCACUCAGUGGCGCUCACUGCGAGAGAGAAGGGACUCGGGAUUCCUGACCCUGAAAGACUUAGGAGGCAACUGACCAAGAGAGGAGGAGGAGCAGCAGCAGCUCUGGUGAGGCCUACCAUGAAAAGCAAGAUCCCUGUUCUGAUUUCUGGAAUAAAUAUGCAGAAAAACCCUGUCUUCAAGUCCUGAGUCUGCUUCUCUGGUUGGCAGCUAGAACAGGACUGUGAACAGGUAAUCUGGAAAGGCAGGCAACAGUGGGAACAGGGACAACCAGAAGCAAGAACCUGUGGUAGCCUUGGGACCCAAACCAGAGAUGAUGCAGGUCCCGAGUUUCAACUUCAGGAGAAGAUGGGGAUUGUGAAGGGCCCAAAGGUGAGUGCAGAGUAAACUGUGCAGCUCCUUAGUAGCCACAUCACCACUGCACCUUGAAUCUAGCAAAACAGCUGAGUCCAGAGCUCUGACAAAGGUGAGCAACAGCAGGAGCGAGAGGAGAAAGCAGGCAGCUGUGAGACUUCUGCAGCGCCAGCACCCGGGACAAAUGUGGCCACCAAGAGGAAGGGAUGGCCAUGGUUCAAGAGCACCACAAUGCCCAGAGCUGGCCCAGCAAAACAUGCUGCCUUUCAAAAGCAGACACUCACAUGGCGGACAGUAGGAUGGCAGCACCCAUUGGCUGCCUGGACGUCUGUUAAGCUUGUGAGCUCCAAAGGCAGCUCCAUGUCCAACAACUUCUCGUGUCUUUUACUCCCACUUGUCUUUUGUGUUGAUGUCAGACAUGGAGCAUUCAAGUCCAAAAAUUUCAGAUCCACAUCUUGGUCACUGUUAACAACAACAACAAUGAUGAUGAUGAUAAUAAUAAUAAUAAAUAAUAAGUGACCUGAAAAAGACAUCUCCAGCACACACUGUAAGGAAGUAGCAUAAAUACAAGGGUAUGGCACCCCAUCAUCCUUUUUUAGACGUAAGAGGAUGAGACGACAACAGGAUGCCAAGGCUCAUAAGGCAAUUCAUCUUGACCCAAAGACUCUAAUUUUAAGCCUCUUUUUAAAAAACAAAUUUCUAGUUUUUGUGAUUACAGAAACCUGGUCUGCAGCAGUGCAGCCAGGGCCCCUUUUCUGCUGCAUACCUUGACAGACAGGCUCCACUAGGCAAUUCCAUGAAGCCUCUAGGCAAGCCCCACUGCUCUGUUGCACAAGCAAGAGCCCAAAAGAAUCUCUAGCUUUCUCAAUUGAAAUUAAUGGUGCGGCUCCAUAGUGCACCCAUUAUCAAAUACCUCUGUCAGGGGGCACAAUUGUUUGCCUGUUCUGUAGACCGUGAUAAUGGCCCCACAGUCUGGGGUGCAGAAAACAAUGGAACACUAGAAUUUGAUGCUGCUCCCUCUGUGGUUGAACAUGAUACAUCGUGGAAUAUAAAACUCAAGAUUUAUUAAAUGUUCAACAGAAAGCAGUCCCAAACUGCUGAAGAGGGUCGGGGUCUGUCGGAUAGACAGCAGGUAUUACAUUUGAUUCUAAAUCUCUUUGCUCAUUACACGCAAGCUGAACCUCUGCCCUGAUCACAGUCAUUUGCAAGCGUACUUUGGGGGCUUUGCUACCAAUCUCCAUUGUUGGCUGUUACCCUUUUCUUAUCAGCCGCUAAGGUGAGCUGGUCCACUUCAUGCUUCGUGUGUUAUUCCCAUUUAAAAUGCUCAGAGGUGAGUGAACAAGCAAGCAUCAGCAAAUGCUCAAAAGAAUCCAGGAGAUACAAAGCAGGUAAAACAAAAUAAUUCCUUGGGCUGGCUUAAAUUGUUGUGCGUAUGUGCAAGCUUUAAAGAAUGCUAUUUAGGUGGCAGACCUGCUUUUUGCACAGCUUUUCCCGUUGCAAAAGGUGGCCCCUGGUGCCAGAGAUAGCAGAGUUACUUCUUUAAAGAGGGAUAAAAUAACUGUAUAAAUGUCAUGUGAUGCACUUGGGAUAUGCAGGGCUCUUCCUGAGACAGGGUGUGCCCAGUUAAAAGUCAUGUGAAAUCUGAAAGGAAGAAAUGAGGCCAUCUUACAGACACUUUCCCCAUUUCCACUACGUGGUGCAUCCCAGACUGUAGUUGGACCUAACUGCUUCUGCUUUAGGUCGUCAGCUCUAAGCUCACUAGAAUGCCAGUCGCUUGGCCCCAGUUCUGCAAACUAUAGCUUACUUUCUCGGCAGGCGCUGGACCUUACAAUGUGAUUGCUUUGCUUCAUUUGUAUUUGAACAAAUAAAUGGCAUGUCACACCUAAAUGGCAUGUCAAAAACAGCACAAAACAGAAUGGAAGAAAGAACCAGUCCCACAUAAAGCUGGCAUGAAUUAUCUAGUCAACCAACCUAAUGGCAUGACAAAGGCAGCUAUAGCUAUUGCUUUCUAAGCGUUAUCAGGCCUGGAUUAACAUCCACAGGGAAAAAGAAGUGUGCUUGUACAACGGAAAAGCUGCUACUGCCGCAAUCAGCAGGCUGAGAGCAAAAAUUGUCCCAUCAAUACUAUAUCAGGAUGUGAUGGUGAUGGGGAAUUUUAUUUAUCCACAUAUAUAUAAUCAUAGAUAUUAAAAGGGUAUAUGUUUUAUAAUCAUAAGAAGUUAAGCAUAGGCUUGUAGGCCUAUUAAGAACUGAGAUUCAGGCUCAUAGAAGACUCUAAAAUCUUAGCAUUUAAUUCAGACUUGUAAGCAAGAAAACCUGUUGCAAAACAGCAGCGGUCACAGGGACUUUCUGUUUCUUUGCCAAGACCCGGCCGGUACAUGACUGGCUGAGAUUAAUUUCUCUAUUGUUUGGAAUCAAGGAGCGUUUAACCUGUGAGAGAAGCUGUGAUUGAUGUAACAAAUAGGAAUUGCCAAUGUUUGAUUCUUGAAUAUAGCAAUUAUGCCAUCUAGAGAGAAAAAAGCUUUACAGCAUAAUCAAAUGUUUAAUGAAGAGAAAUAGUGAGAUGUAAUAAUGAUUUUUAAAAAUAACCCAGUGUGUUGUUAUAUUUACAACUUUAUAAGUGUGUCUUCAUUAAGAAAAAGGGGUGGCCUGCCUCCUCUAUAUAUCUCUGAGGCUGAAAGAUACUGGUUAGCCAGAGUCAUCCAGCUUUUUCCUUAGUCUGUGUGGUUUCACAAUGUAGCUCAGGAGUUUAAACAAAAUCCUCUUUCAUGAGUUGUGUAUUUUAUAAGCAAGGAAAUAGGAUUUCUGAGAAAGUAUAAGAACAUAUAAGACCCCAUAGCUGUUAAAAACCUGUGAUGCUCAUGAGAUUUCAGUUAGCCUGAGCUGAGGUAAAACCCAAGCAGGUGUACCUGGUCAGCCUGACCCACCAGAAACAAUGCAACAAUGGAAUGUACCAAGUAUGCUUGAAAGCAUAUUCACAAUAAUAACUGUUCCAACUAGAACCAAAAUUCAUUAGUCUUGAAAAGACAGUAGGACAAUCGAGACAUUAAUGGUAUGGACAGAAUCUUGGAUCACCAUUGGAGUUAGCUAAUACUUUCUGAUUGGUUUGGAACGAUUGUAGAGAGGAGGAACUGUGAUGUUGGGUGGGCAGGAACUCAUGAGAUUGGUGGAAUCAUUGUCACAUGCUGUAACUGUACUCUAUAAAAGAGCUUGCACACAGUGCUUCAGUGCAGUCACUCCUGGAUGUUCCUGGGAGGGUGACCCUGCA